rnacentral:rRNA from 1 species
GACGAACGCUGGCGGCGUGCCUAAUACAUGCAAGUAGAACGCUGAAGGAGGAGCUUGCUUCUCUGGAUGAGUUGCGAACGGGUGAGUAACGCGUAGGUAACCUGCCUGGUAGCGGGGGAUAACUAUUGGAAACGAUAGCUAAUACCGCAUAAUAGCAGUUAUUGCAUGAUAACUGUUUGAAAGGUGCAAUUGCUCCACUACCAGAUGGACCUGCGUUGUAUUAGCUAGUUGGUGGGGUAACGGCUCACCAAGGCGACGAUACAUAGCCGACCUGAGAGGGUGAUCAGCCACACUGGGACUGGGACACGGCCCAGACUCCUACGGAAGGCAGCCGUAGGGAAUCUUCGGCAAUGGACGGAAGUCCGACCGAGCAACGCCGCGUGAGUGAAGAAGGUUGUCGGCUCGUAAAGCUCUGUUGUAAGAGGAGAACGAGUGUGAGAGUGGAAAGUUCACACUGUGACGGUAUCUUACCAGAAAGGGACGGCUAACUACGUG